rnacentral:rRNA from 1 species
UACGGGGGGAGCAAGCGUUGUUCGGAUUUACUGGGCGUAAAGGGCGUGUAGGCGGUCAAGUAAGUGGAAUGUGAAACGCCUCGGCUUACCCGAGGACCUGCAUCCCAAACUGCUUGGCUUGAGUAUGGGAGAGGAUGAGGGAAUUCCUGGUGUAGCGGUGAAAUGCGUAGAUAUCAGGAGGAACACCGGCGGCGAAGGCGGCAUCCUGGACCAACACUGACACUGAGGAGUGAAAGCCAGGGGAGCAAACGGG